UACGGGGGGGAGCAAACGUUGUUCGGAAUCACUGGGCGUAAAGGGCGUGUAGGCGGCUGGAUAAGUGGGAUGUUAAAUCCCCCGGCUCAACCGGGGACCUGCAUCUCAUGCUGUUCAGCUCGAGCACAUCAGAGGAGACUGGAAUUCCCGGUGUAGCGGUGAAAUGCGUAGAUAUCGGGAGGAACAUCAGUGGCGAAGGCGGCUGCCUGGCCCCAAUACUGACACUCAGGUGCGACAGCGUGGGGGAGCAAACAGG
rnacentral:rRNA from 1 species